UACGGGGGGAGCAAGCGUUGUUCGGAUUUACUGGGCGUAAAGGGCGCGUAGGCGGUCGUGACAAGUCACUUGUGAAAUCUCCGGGCUUAACUCGGAACGGUCAAGUGAUACUGUCGGACUAGAGUACAGAAGGGGCAACUGGAAUUCUCGGUGUAGCGGUGAAAUGCGUAGAUAUCGAGAGAAACACCUGCGGCGAAGGCGGGUUGCUGGGCUGAUACUGACGCUGAGGCGCGAAAGCCAGGGGAGCGAACGGG
rnacentral:rRNA from 1 species